GGGAAUAUUGCACAAUGGGCGAAAGCCUGAUGCAGCAACGCCGCGUGAAUGAAGAAGGCCUUCGGGUUGUAAAAUUCUGUUAUAAGGGAAGAAAGGUGAUAGGAGGAAAUGACUAUCAAUUGACGGUACCUUAUGAGAAAGCCACGGCUAACUACGUGCCAGCAGCCGCGGUAAUACGUAGGUGGCAAGCGUUAUCCGGAUUUAUUGGGCGUAAAGGGAACGCAGGCGGUCUUUUAAGUCUGAUGUGAAAGCCUUCGGCUUAACCGGAGUAGUGCAUUGGAAACUGGGAGACUUGAGUGCAGAAGAGGAGAGUGGAACUCCAUGUGUAGCGGUGAAAUGCGUAGAUAUAUGGAAGAACACCAGUGGCGAAAGCGGCUCUCUGGUCUGUAACUGACGCUGAGGUUCGAAAGCGUGGGUAGCA
rnacentral:rRNA from 1 species